GAUCGUGUUCUUCCCCUUGCCAGAUUCUGUACCAGUGCAGCCGCCUGGUGCUAUUGUUAAGGUCCAGCGAGCUCAAGAACUGAUCUCAGAUCUUCACCAAAAUCAGUAUUCUCUCUCUCUCUCCCUCUUCUGUACCACUCCAACAGGCAAAAUAGUGCCUUGAUUUCGUCUUUCGCAGCAGUGCCUCGUUGUGAGGGCAUACUCAAUCUACCACUAACGCCGCCGGUGGCACUAUCCAACUACAGCAGCUCAAGGAUCUAGAUCUAGGUCUGUAUGCUUCUUCUCAAAAGGCAUCUUUUUAUUGAUUAAGAUUUGGAAUAGUGCGCUGUCAGCACAAUAUUUAGGUAUGAGCUACGAGUAUAUUUCUACGAUCUUCAUGCAAAUUACAAGGGAUGCACUCCCUGUUUGGAUCCUUUAUUCGUAAACAAUAUGAAACAGAACUUGUACUUUACAAUGUUCAACUGAACUUCGUGAAAGCAUUAACAAGUUCAUCUUCCUGAUUUUAUUAUCUACAGUAGUUCAUCUUUUGGACAAAACUGGUUUUUUUCAGUCUCCUAUAUACAAUGUAUACUAAACCAUGACUUGCAGAAUGUCGGUGUUCCUUACAAUCCAUUGCAAAACCUCAUAUAUUGUUCCCUAUAAUUUGUUUGAAAAAACAUGAUAUAGUAGUGAACUGACCUUUUUAUUCUAUAAAUGCGAUACUUUGGGAUCCCUGUUUUAUCUGGUAGCAAAUUUUUAGUAAAAGACAAUCCAAUGUUAGUUUCGCAUAGAGGAUAGAGCUGCCUAUGAUUGCUUAUGUGAUUGCUAUGAGAUUCAUAACCUAUGUUAGUUUCAAUGGAUUUGCAAGAUGGGGUGUCACUCCAAAGUUUGGCUUGGCUCAUUACUAUGUUGGAAGGUCAUUAUGGAGUCUUAUUGCCUGGAGCUGGUAAAUCUGUUGAAGAUGUGGACCGCGAACAGGGCUGCAAUUCUUCAUGUUCUUAUGCAAAUCAGAAGCUGCUUUUGACAUUGACAAGGCAGCUGCAGUGAAGAAUGACAUAUCAAGAUUACUUACAUACAUAUUGUCAGGCCACAUAAGCCUCUUCCGCGACCACUCAUUGAUUCAGGACCAUCUUUCAUGCUCCAACAAUAGUUUUCCUUUGAUCUUCAAAUCGAUUAGUUGAAGGCAUGACCGGAUAAUCUUCAGAGUAGGAGUCAUCUUCAUAUGUCUCCUAGUUGGCAGCUCAUGAAACUGAUAAUGUCACCUCCCAUACUAGUACAGAUCAUGUCUGGUUGUCUCAGACUCCGAUUUUUCUGGAACCAUGUAAUCAGCAAGAAAGUACACUUGGUAACAAAUUUAGUAUGCGGCUUGUUUGUAGUUUAGAAGGGCGGUUGCUGUACAAUUGAUGUGUAUGCUUGUGAUGUCUCAAUGUAAAAGACGUGAUGUUCUUCCAUGGAAGCUUCUAAAGAUCUUUGGUUCAGUUGCAAAA